rnacentral:misc_RNA from 1 species
CAACAACCAUAUAUCCAAUUCUUUUAACUCCAUUAUUGCUGCACUUAAGCUUGAUUAGCCUCCAUUCAAUGUUUCCCUUCCAACAAAAUAAUGAAUUUUCGUCCCAAAUCUCCUCGAAUCCCCACCAAGAUAUUGCUGAAGACAAUCCGAUCUUGGGUGGAACUUCCAACCUUUCCAACUUUAUGGUGGAUGGCCAGCCUCCUUUAAUAUUAGCAAAUUCAAACACUAAUAAUGAAGUUAAUUAUACUUGCGAUGAGAAGAAGAUCAUUCGCAAGGAGAUCGAACGGCAAAGAAGGCAACAAAUGUCUACUCUUCAUGGAUCGCUUCGAUCCCUCCUUCCUCUUGAAUCACUCAAGGGAAAACGUUCAAUGUCUGAUCACUUAAAUGCGGCUGCGAAAUAUAUAAAAAACCUUCAGAAUAACGUCCAAGAACUGAGUGUUAAGAGAGAUAUGCUCAAGAAUUUGUCCGAUUCUUCUACUUCUCUUGGUGACCAAGGGACGGAAAUUAGUUCACAAAAUAAUUUCAUGAACACUAUUGUUACUGUCCGCUCUCAUGUGGGUGGAGUAGAGAUUGGCGUAAGUUGUGGAUCCGGAGAGAACAGUUUUCCUCUAUCAAGAGUGCUAGAAGCUGUUGUAGAAGAGGGAUUUGACGUUGUUAGCUGCAUUUCCACCAAAAGAGAUGGAAGGUUAUAUAGUACAAUUCAGUGCCAGGCUAGCCAUCUAACCUGCAUUGAUGUAGCUGAGCUGCAACAGAAACUGAAUGAUGUAAUCUUGUCAUAGAGCUUCACUUUGAAGUGACUUUAUAAUUCAUAAUAUUCAAAUAUGCACUGCCUUAAGAUCACCUAUAUGAAUCCUAAACUUGGUUAUGUUUAUAUAUAUAUUAACAUGCAUUUGCAAACUGUUUGAUGAUGUCUAUUUGCAAGUUUCUUUUGGUAGAAUUGUGAAAUAAAAAGAAUCCAUCUGAUGUGAAUUCCUAUCUGAACUCCUCGCAAACUAUUUAUCUAUUUGACCUGAUAUCUAGGGGAUCGAUGGGGGGAAAAGGAUCAUUUGAAGUAAAGCGUUGAUACAUUGCAUGCAUAAACAUCAAAAAUUGGCCUCAACAAUAUAUGCACUGGCAUUGCACAUCAAUUUAUACUUCAAGGGUGCAUGGGAUUAAACAAGAUAGACCCAUUCAACGCUGAUCGACUAAUUAAAUGCCAGAAAAGGAAGGAGGCUACCCAGGUAAGUUCACUAAUAACUACUGCAAUGCUGAUACUGAAAAUCAUAAACUUUUUCUUCUGAACCCUCUAACACAAAUUUGUUUUCAAAUUCUAUUUGCAAUAAUUUUCAAAAUGGAGUUUGGCAAUGUGUUUGCCCUUGGGUGCCCAAACUCCCAAACAAUAAAAGUAACUUUUCCCAUGAAUUCUAGAUAUAAGUUCAUGAAAUGAGCUACAUUUUGUGGUUUUGGAAUAUAGACCUAAAAGCUUGCUGUAUAUAGUUAAACUGGCUUUUUAGUAAAGUGCUUUUUCAAACCGAAUUUGACUUGCCUAUAUAUCAAGUGUAUGCAUCAAUCCAAUAGAUGAAUGACAUAUGAAAUAAAAAUCUAUACAUUGAUCUUACUUAAAAUCAUGGUAGAUCCUAUUUAUUAUUAUUAUUAUUUUCAAAUGAUGAUUCUUAUUUGAUCAGUGCAUGAAUGGGGCAUAUACAUAGUAUAUGCAAGAAUUUUCCAUCAAAAACAUUGUUUCAACCUAUAUGUGAAACAGACAUGCAGUAAUCUGAUGUUGGAUGCAUGACGGCACAUGAUGAGGAAUGGUGGUUGUGGGAGUUGAAACAUAAUGAUGGGCGGUACGGUAGCAGUUAUUAAGUUGGGGGCAGUGUAGUGGACUGGCAGUUGAGAGAUAGCAAAUAAUAGUAGUAAGAUAUAUAACGGAGGUAUAUGUGAUGAAGAAAAAUUUUGGUUAUAAGGGCAACGAUAUAGAGGAUAAGGUUUUGGCAGUAUAAUUUUGAUAUAAAACCUAUGCAAUAAGAGGAUGGGGGGGUGGUACAAUUUUCCUAUUGUAGGAAUGAUAAGAUGACUCAGACUCUUAAAAUUUAGAAGGAAGGGUUUCAUUUAUCUCCAUCAAUGGUGAGUAAAGAGACAAAUUAUGAUUGCAUGGAUGUAAAACCUAUAUAGUGAUCAAAGAGAAAGGCAGAGCAGGAAUGCAAUUUGAUCUUAGUAGGAGUUAAUUAAUUAAUUGGCAAUAUAUAUACUAUAUUUUGUUUAUAUAUAUUGAUCUGUUGCUGCAGUUGAAGCACACUUCAAAGAGGGAUCACACAUAAUUAUCAGAUGCAUUUCCUGGAGAGGGACAUUAAGUCAAUGGACGUCUAAAUUAGCGCACACAAACGUUCAUUGCUCUUGAUUGGCCGUAACUUUCUUUGGAAAUUACUUUAAUAAGACUACCUUAAUAAAUUUUAUGUUUGCUGAAAUUGCAUGAUCAAUUUAGGCACAUAUAUGUUUUGUUUCUUUGACAAGAUCGUUCCGGUAGUGAAACAGAAAUUGUCAAUUCUUGUAUUGUUUAUACAGAAAUUGUUUAAAUGUUAUAUAUAUAUUGUUUACUGUUAUGUAUAUAUGC